UACGUAGGGGGCGAGCGUUGUCCGGAUUUAUUGGGCGUAAAGAGCGUGUAGGCGGCCAGGUAGGUCUGCUGUGAAAACUCGAGGCUCAACCUCGAGACGUCGGCGGAAACCAUCUGGCUAGAGUCCGGAAGAGGAGAGUGGAAUUCCUGGUGUAGCGGUGAAAUGCGCAGAUAUCAGGAAGAACACCGAUUGCGAAGGCAGCUCGCUGGGACGUUACUGACGCUGAGACGCGAAAGCGUGGGGAGCAAACAGG
rnacentral:rRNA from 1 species